UCCAGACUCCUACGGGAGGCAGCAGUGAGGAAUAUUGGUCAAUGGGCUUACGCCUGAACCAGCCAAGUCGCGUGAGGGAAGACUGCCCUAUGGGUUGUAAACCUCUUUUGUCAGGGAGCAAUUGGCGCUACGUGUAGCGUUAUCGAGAGUACCUGAAGAAAAAGCAUCGGCUAACUCCGUGCCAGCAGCCGCGGUAAUACGGAGGAUGCGAGCGUUAUCCGGAUUUAUUGGGUUUAAAGGGUGCGUAGGCGGAAUAUCAAGUCAGCGGUAAAAAUUCGGGGCUCAACCCCGUCGUGCCGUUGAAACUGACGUUCUUGAGUGGGCGAGAAGUAUGCGGAAUGCGUGGUGUAGCGGUGAAAUGCAUAGAUAUCACGCAGAACUCCGAUUGCGAAGGCAGCAUACCGGCGCCCAACUGACGCUGAAGCACGAAAGCGUGGGUAUCGAACAGGAUUAGAUACCCCAGUA
rnacentral:rRNA from 1 species